rnacentral:ncRNA from 2 species
UUUAGUAUCGGCGAUGGAGUUCGCCAUUAACCGCCCCGAUCUUAUCGGGACUGAUGACUCCUACUCUCAG